rnacentral:rRNA from 1 species
AUGAACGCUGGCGGCGUGCCUAAUAACUGCAAGUCGAGCGAACAGACGAGGAGCUUGCUCCUCUGACGUUAGCGGCGGCCGGGUGAGUAACACGUGGAUAACCUACCUAUAAGACUGGGAUAACUUCGGGAAACCGGAGCUAAUACCGGAUAAUAUAUUGAACCGCAUGGUUCAAUAGUGAAAGACGGUUUUGCUGUCACUUAUAGAUGGAUCCGCGCCGCAUUAGCUAGUUGGUAAGGUAACGGCUUACCAAGGCAACGAUGCGUAGCCGACCUGAGAGGGUGAUCGGCCACACUGGAACUGAGACACGGUCCAGACUCCUACGGGAGGCAGCAGUAGGGAAUCUGCCGCAAUGGGCGAAAGCCUGACGGAGCAACGCCGCGUGAGUGAUGAAGGUCUUCGGAUCGUAAAACUCUGUUAUUAGGGAAGAACAAAUGUGUAAGUAACUAUGCACGUCUUGACGGUACCUAAUCAGAAAGCCACGGCUAACUACGUG